ACAAACUCCUAAACUUUGAAAGGGUUUCUGGAAUAUUAAAAAUUUUAUGAAAUCAGCAUAGAUUUUUGCUUUGUAAUAUGGGAUAUAUUCUUCUAUUCUUCAUGCUUCCCCUGUCCUCAGGAGGCAGUGGAUUCCUGAAUAGUGAAUUCCUGGAAUGUAUUUAGCCUUUCUGUUACAAUGAGAAUAUCAACAAAAUGAUUAAUAGCAUUUUGCUUUGCAGUAGUCUUUUUCACCUUUGAGAGGACACCUACAUAGAAGACCUUACAGGGAGGCAGAAAAGUGCUCAAGGCCACACUUUUCAGAGCAGCAGCUGCAGAGGAGCUUUUCUGACUGGAAGGAGUGACUAGAGAAGCCGACUCAUGCACAAUCUCUAGAAGUAACUGUAAGGAAGAGGUAAAGGUACUUACUGUUGAGUGGAAGGUAAUGAGUGUCCCAUUCCCCUUGCCCCUGUCUUUAAGGUAGUCGUUAUAAGCCUCUUCG